rnacentral:rRNA from 1 species
CACGUAGUUAGCCGGUGCUUCUUCUUACGGUACCGUCAUCCACUCCGGGUAUUGGCCGAAGCGAUUUCUUUCCGUCCGAAAGAGCUUUACAACCCGAAGGCCUUCUUCACUCACGCGGCAUGGCUGGAUCAGGGUUUCCCCCAUUGUCCAAAAUUCCCCACUGCUGCCUCCCGUACGGAGUCUGGGCCGUGUCUCAGUCCCAGUGUGGCUGAUCAUCCUCUCAGACCAGCUACGGAUCGUCGCCUUGGUGAGCCUUUACCCCACCAACUAGCUAAUCCGACAUCGGCCGCUCCAAUCGCGCGAGGUCCGAAGAUCCCCCGCUUUCUCCCUCAGGACGUAUGCGGUAUUAGCUACGCUUUCGCGUAGUUAUCCCCCGACGACUGGGCACGUUCCGAUGCAUUACUCACCCGUUCGCCACUCGCCGGCGGGCCGAAGCCCCCGCUGCCGUUCGACUUGCAUGUGUAAAGCAUGCCGCCAGCGUUCAAUCUGAGCCAGGAUCAACUC